UUUAAAAGAAGAUUUUAACAAUAUGUUUAAGAGAAAUUCAUCAUAAGUAAAAAAAGAUUUAGGGGACCUAGCUUUUUAAGAGAAGUUUGAAUUUCGAUCCAAUGAAGUAGGCUCAUCUCAUCAUUUUGAAGCAAAAUUCACCAAGUGAUAGGAAUGUUCACCCAUAGCAAGGGAAUGUGUGCUGGGUAUAGACCGUCGUGAGACAGGUUGGUUUUACCGUAGUAAUGACGAAACGUGGUUGCGACAGCAUUCCUGCGUAGUACGAGAGGAACCGCAGGUACGGACCAAUGGCACAAUACUUGUUCGAGCGAACAGUGGUAUGACGCUACGUCCGUUGGAUUAUGCCUGAACGCCUCUAAGGUCGUAUCCGUGCUGGACUGCAAUGAUAAAUAAGGGGCAAUUUGCAUUGUAUGGCUUCUAAACCAUUACAAGUUUUUAAUUUGUUUUAUUAACGACAAUGGAUGUGAUGCCAAUGUUAUUUAUAACAUAGUAAAUUGGGAGGAUCUUCGAUCACCUGAUGCCGCGCUAGUUAUAUUUUAAAACAUUAUUUAAUACAAUGUCAAAGCCUAGAAUCAAUUGUAAACGACUUUUGUAACAGGCAAGGUGUUGUAAGUGGUUGAGCAGCUGCCAUACUGCGAUCCACUGAAGCUUAUCCUUUGCUUGAUGAUUCGA
rnacentral:ncRNA from 1 species